CUAAACAAUCGCCGGAACCUAUGGAUGAAAGUCAUUCAAACUUUUUUCUCCAGCUUAAUUUAUAAAAAUAAAAAUUAAAAUAUCACAAGAUUAAUUAUUUAAUUUCAAAUCUUUUCCAGUGGAGAAUUUCAUCUAGGAUAUAGAAAAUCAAAUCUUCAGGGAUUAUCGUGGUACGAAUUGGUUCACUGUGAUCAUUUGAGAGAAGCCCAAUCGAAGCAUCGACUAAUUACGCAAUCCGAACAAGAGAGAUCUUGUAUUCUUCUAAUAAGAUUGGAAUCUCAAAGUAGAAAGUGGAUUUGGGUUCACGUAGUUUUGCAAGUGAAAGACAGUUCCGAUAGUUCGCAACAACCCGUUAUUGUUUGCACUAAUCAAGUACUCAGUGAAAGAGAAGCGGCUGUGAUGAGGGCCAACAGUUGGCUCUAUCAAUUUUAUUCUCUUCAUUCCAAAAUGCACUAUAGUUUGGCGUACGAAGCCCACGCUACCAGAUUGCCUAGUUAUUAUUCUACGAUGAUGCCUUAUCCUCAUCCGAC